rnacentral:piRNA from 1 species
UUUCAACUUAUUCUUCUGACC